rnacentral:misc_RNA from 1 species
GUGAGUCAUCGAAUCUUUGAACGCACAUUGCGCCCGCCAGUAUUCUGGCGGGCAUGCCUGUCCGAGCGUCAUUUCAACCCUCGAACCCCUCCGGGGGGUCGGCGUUGGGGAUCGGCCCUCCCUUAGCGGGUGGCCGUCUCCGAAAUACAGUGGCGGUCUCGCCGCAGCCUCUCCUGCGCAGUAGUUUGCACACUCGCAUCGGGAGCGCGGCGCGUCCACAGCCGUUAAACACCCAACUUCUGAAAUGUUGACCUCGGAUCAGGUAGGAAUACCCGCUGAACUUAAGCAUAUCAAUAAGCGGAGGA